UUUUAAUUUAGUGUUACAUAUUAUUUUUCACACAAAGGAAACAAAAAAAGGAACCAGCAUUAGUGUAUUUUGUGUAUAUUACAGUAUAUGGUUAAAAUUUGAUAAAAGGUGCAGAGUCAAGGUGUGGAGUUGCGUGGAAGAGUUCUCUGCAGAACUAGCAGGAAACACCAUUAAAUGCUAGUUCCUAUGUUUUAAAAAAGUCACUCUCCAAACUGAGCACUCUGGUUUAUCCAUUAGAAAUGUACAUAAUAAGGUUAUACCUCCACAUACCUCCUACAGGUACUGUGCAGCUCCUGCAAUGUAGAGAAUAUAGCUCUAGGUACUCCUGGUGGAGUUAUGUGAAUUAAAUAUAUAGGUAAACAUACGUGCAUGCAUACGUUUGAUCUUUUGUCCAUGCUUUUGUAAGGUA